rfam:Triticum aestivum genome assembly, contig: Triticum_aestivum_CS42_TGACv1_scaffold_404286_5BL
AUUCUACUCCCUCCGUUCCACAAUACAUGCCUUCUAUUUGUCAAAAUAUAGAUGUAUCUAGACAUGUUUUAGUAUAUAGGUACAUCCAUUUUUGGACAAAUGGAAGUCAAGUAUUUUGGAACGGAGGGAGUACACA